UACGUAGGGGGCGAGCGUUGUCCGGAUUUACUGGGCGUAAAGGGCAUGCAGGCGGUCGGACUCGUUUUGUGUGACAGCGGGUGGCUCAACUGCCCGAGCAUACGAAAGACGGUUUGACUUGAGGGCUCGAGAGGGACACGGAAUUCCUGGUGUAGCGGUGAAAUGCGCAGAUAUCAGGAGGAAUACCAGCGGCGAAGGCGGCGCUCUGGGCCGGUACUGACGCUGAGGAGCGAAAGCGUGGGUAGCAAACAGG
rnacentral:rRNA from 1 species